GACGAACGCUGGCGGCGUGCCUAAUACAUGCAAGUAGAACGCUGAAGAGAGGAGCUUGCUCUUCUUGGAUGAGUUGCGAACGGGUGAGUAACGCGUAGGUAACCUGCCUGGUAGCGGGGGAUAACUAUUGGAAACGAUAGCUAAUACCGCAUAAAAUUGAUUAUUGCAUGAUAAUUAAUUGAAAGAUGCAACUGCAUCACUACCAGAUGGACCUGCGUUGUAUUAGCUAGUUGGUGAGGUAACGGCUCACCAAGGCGACGAUACAUAGCCGACCUGAGAGGGUGAUCGGCCAAACUGGGACUGAGACACGGCCCAGACUCCUACGGGAGGCAGCAGUAGGGAAUCUUCGGCAAUGGGGGGAACCCUGACCGAGCAACGCCGCGUGAGUGAAGAAGGUUUUCGGAUCGUAAAGCUCUGUUGUAAGAGAAGAACGGGUGUGAGAGUGGAAAGUUCACACUGUGACGGUAUCUUACCAGAAAGGGACGGCUAACUACGUG
rnacentral:rRNA from 1 species